GUUUUUUAUGUGGAUGUGCCAUUGUUUAAGCUUCUUGCAGCCGAAAAGUGAGAUUUCCUCUCCAUGGUUCACCAAGCAGGCAUAUUUUGCAGUGCAUGCAUAUUUGAAUAGAAAGGAAAGCAAAAGACUGAAGAAAUAAAUCUUUUAGUAACAUGAUGGCAGCUAAAAGAUUUGCGGCACCAUAAAGUUGAAAGGAUAAAUGGACAGAUACCAGACACGGGAAACACUGCCAGAUUCAGAUUUCAAUUCCAGAGCCCCAAAAACGGCACUUCCGGUUCCUGCUCCAGAUGACAUCACUUCUGCCAACCAGCCAUAAAUGAAACCCAAUCACCUCUUUGGAAUCAGAUCUGU